UGACAUGUUAACCAUCCUUGCCAUGGGAUGGAACCAUCGGAAGGUGGAGCUUCUCCACAAGGCACUGGCAAAGAGGUUUAUCAAGAUUACAAAGCGAGCAGAAAUUGAAGUAGCGAAUCUUCACUCAAGCAAGACCUGAACAUCUCUCUGGAGGACACACAACAGUGGGUGGAGGAUGUCAAACACUGGGCAACCACUGAGAGACAUGAUGCUAAUAGCAGACAGGAAGACCUCCAGAGAGAGAUUAAUGAGAUCAUUUAUUCCCUCCGAAGAAGGAAGCAUGAUCUCUGUCGACAGAAUGACAGUAACCAAGCAAGGCUGCGCAAACGGAGGAAUCUGUGUAAUCUCAAGAAGAAACUAAAGGAGAGGAU